ACGACCUUACUUGAACAGGAUCUGUUCUAUAGGCUCGUACUACUGUGUCCUUGAUUUCAAAGGAGACAGGAACAUACGUCUGGUGGAUGAACUAAGACCGUGUGAUCAGAGCGUGAAUAACGGCCAGGAUGAUCUACAUGUGUGGUCAUCAUCUAAGCUGUAGAUGAUCGUUCCUGGUUGGGUUCUACCAACUGGGGUGGUCACACGGUGCUCUGACAGACU